rnacentral:lncRNA from 10 species
AUAAUGUGAAAGUUCUGAUUUACUGUUGUGAUGGAGAAAGAUUAAAAUUAUCACCAUGCAGCUGGUAAAGGCCCCAUGGAGCUCCCUGAACACAUCUGAGUAGAAUUUCACAUCUGGAUGGAAUUUCUUGCAGCACAGUUAGACAAAUCCCACAAAGGCUAUGAACCAUAAAGCUGCAUUUUAAUUAUAGCACAAAACUCACACACUAUACUUUUCAAUAUUAUUUUUAUGUUUAAUUAAGACUUUAUCACCUAUCUGAAAUAUGUUUGAAACAGAAAAUAAUUAAAAUUUUGUAAUGACUACGAGUGCAAUUUCAUGUCUAAGUAGAUUCGGAAGCACAGAAAAUAUUAAACAGAUAAUUCUUAGAUUUUUACAGAGGCACACGCUAAUAUUCUUUGCCCAAUUUUAUGACACUUUUUGGCCUACAGAUGCAGCAAAAUAAACUCAAAUUAAUGUAAUCAGAAAGAAAUUUAAUUUUGAGAGCUUGUUCCACCAAAAAGGAUAGUUGGAGAUAUCCUAUAGCACUGAAAAAUUACAGUUCAGAAUUAUGGCACUGGUUAUUUACAAGGAGCACAGCAGUUAGAAUUUAUAUUUGGUAUUGUACAUGAAAAACAUCAGUUGAGAUUGUGCAGCACUGAAUUUUAGCCUUUAUCUCCAUGACAACAAGAACUAGUACAAAAGUGAAACAAAUCCAUCUAAAUUGGAUAAAACAUCUUUGGCCUUUUCUUUCACCUCACUUUGUAUCAAUUAGCAAGUCCUGCUGGCUGUACAUUUCAAAAUAUCAUAGGAUUUUGACAGCUCCAUCCCCUUUUCCCUGGACUAAUGUAACUGCAUAACUGCUUCACCUUUCCCUCUACUCCCAUAGAUUAAGUCAUCUUUUAAAUGCAUAAAUCAUAAAUACACACCUUAUAUCACAUUUCUGGUAAAACCUACCAACAACUCUAAUGCACUUAAAACAAAAUUAAAUUUCUAACCACAUCUACCAGACCCUGUUUGCCCUUUGCAUACAUUUCCAACCCAUCUCCUACUAUUCUAAAUGAUUAUUUCACUUGAAUUUUUCCUGGUAGAAUCUGAAUUGUCCUCAGCGUGUUUAUUUCAAGAACUGGCAUCUUAAGGUUUUACAAAACCAAAUGGUAUAAAAUUUUAAAAACUGUAAUUAGCAGUGUCUCUAUUGUCUUCAUUUUCAUAUUGGCUUUAGUAGCUGACAGCUUGUCAAAUGGAUUAAGGAAUAUUUAGGAAUCUUUGGGAAGAUUUUCGUCAACUGAUUAAGGACAUUUUAUGGAUAUAUUCUCAUUUAACUUAUAACUGCAGUUUUCCAUUGUUUAUUAAACAACUUUCAUAUGUUAACAUAACCAUUCUGUGUGUAGAAAAAAUAUUCAGCAUUUGAGUGUUGAAAUAUUAAAGCCAAUUUACAUAAAUAAUAAUCACAUCAAAUUAAAGUUCUUAAAAUUAAUCAGAUAUUUUAUUUUAUAAAAUGGUGUAAAUUUUACUCUGCUGAAGUUUAAUUGUGUAAUAUUAGGAAUUAUCUACUAUCUUAAAUAUAAUUAGCAUAAUAACUUUGAAUAAGGAAAGAAAAGACUGCCUUCUAAAUUAAAAUCUCUUUGGGAUAUGUUUAAAAGAGGGAAGCUUCUCAUCAUAUGCAGUAUAAUUGUCUGAAGUAAGUAAUAUUUGAAAAAAAUAUUCAUUUGAUACUUCUUCAUAUUCAAAAAUUGCUCAAGACUUGACUUAUCCUUCCUGCAACAUGGCCUCUUUUGGCCAUAAAUUCAAUAGAAUAUGAUAUAUGAUUAUCUGUAUUUUAAAAAUGUUGUGAAAACGUUUUGAUCUUGAACUAUUCAAACUUUUCCCAAUGUAUAUCUAUUCCCUUUUAAAUAUUGUGUGUUUUCUCUAUACAGGGCUAUUCCUUCUAAGAAUCGUUCAUUUGUUGUUAUCCAAAAUUUAUUGAGUCAUUGUCUAUAGGAUGCUAGAAAAUACUUCAACACAUAAAAUCAUUUUUGACUCUUCUAGCAAAUGUGCAGAUGUUCUUUUAAUUGAAAUUCAUUGGAAAAACAUGGAAAGCUGUAAUGGAAUAUGGAGAGUUUCUGAGCUGGAAUUGGAAGCCAGGCCUCUCUGACUGCAGAGACCAACUUCUAACAAGCAUGAUUUUCCAUCAUAAAGCCUACACAGUCAGUAUUGUAGGAAGUCAACAAUUUGGGUACACAAUUUUGUAGUUUAGACCCUAGUGCAAAUAUCCUAUGAGAAACAAGAAACCCUGAAACAUGAAGGAACCUUUGUGUUUCCAUACCUUUCUUCUCCUCGACUCCUGCAUCUGAUUUGAGAGUGUGGCUGCUGCUGUGGAGAGAAUCUUUUGAGUCUUCAUUUUCGUCCAGGACCCCAGCAAAGCUGAUCUUCCUCUCAUAUCUGUGCCGGUCCAACUCGGGAUCCAAACGAAGUCUGCAGCUCUCCAAGUCCUAAAAUGCCAGUGAGGAGCACAUGAGUGCUGGCAUCUCCCCAGCACUGCAUUGGUCUCGCGGCAAGCCUCCCACCAUUUUGAAUUAUACACAACUGCGUUUAAACAGCCAGAUUCCUUUAUCUGACGCUAAUUUUAGAUUGUGACCAUGCAAAUCUAUUCUUGACUUAAAAAAUAAAUAAAAUCUUUCCUAAUUCAUAGUAUUUUUCCCCUUUUCCUCACAUGCUUUACCUUCCAAAAGCAUAGGCCUUGAUCCAAAUCCAAAACUAU